AGUCGAGCGAAGCGCUUUGCGGAUUCUUCGGAUUGAAGCAAUUGUGACUGAGCGGCGGACGGGUGAGUAACGCGUGGGUAACCUGCCUCAUACAGGGGGAUAACAGUUGGAAACGGCUGCUAAUACCGCAUAAGCGCACAGUACCGCAUGGUACCGUGUGAAAAACUCCGGUGGUAUGAGAUGGACCCGCGUCUGAUUAGCUAGUUGGUGGGGUAACGGCCUACCAAGGCGACGAUCAGUAGCCGACCUGAGAGGGUGACCGGCCACAUUGGGACUGAGACACGGCCCAAACUCCUACGGGAGGCAGCAGUGGGGAAUAUUGCACAAUGGGCGAAAGCCUGAUGCAGCGACGCCGCGUGAGCGAAGAAGUAUUUCGGUAUGUAAAGCUCUAUCAGCAGGGAAGAUAAUGACGGUACCUGACUAAGAAGCACCGGCUAAAUACGUGCCAGCAGCCGCGGUAAUACGUAUGGUGCAAGCGUUAUCCGGAUUUACUGGGUGUAAAGGGAGCGCAGGCGGUGCGGCAAGUCUGAUGUGAAAGCCCGGGGCUCAACCCCGGUACUGCAUUGGAAACUGUCGUACUAGAGUGUCGGAGGGGUAAGCGGAAUUCCUAGUGUAGCGGUGAAAUGCGUAGAUAUUAGGAGGAACACCCAGUGGCGAAGGCGGCUUACU
rnacentral:rRNA from 1 species